rnacentral:lncRNA from 1 species
UUCUCAGUCGGAAAGCUGACCCCGGUUUGACCCCAUUUCUUAAAGCAACAAUGGACGUCAUGUGAUUACCAUAUAUGGGAAAUUUUUUACCAAAAAAAGUGAAGCUCGUUUUUUGGAAUUUGUAGUUUUUUGCAUGAAUUAAAACUAAUUUCCUUUUAAGUGAACAUUCUUGAGUAUAUAAGAAAUAUAUUACUCAACUCAAUUAUGGAUUAAACCUUUUUUUUCUCUCAAAAUGUGUCUUCAAAGUCAAGGUGUUGACGAAAAAAAUUGGUCACAGAAAAUUAAAAUCGUAAUUUUCUUUCUUAACUUCUCGGGAAGCUAUGCUGAAUUUAAAUUAUGUUAUGUAACAUAACUUGGACUAUGAUAUGUCAAAUUUGUGCCAGUUGAUAUGCUAAGAUACGCAAAUGUGCCAGUUAGAUGUGUCGAUAUUUCUGACGAAGCGGGGCCGACGGUAAUUCACGAGUUAC